AGAUAUAAUGUAAGGAAUAUGAAAUGUAAUGUAAUAUAAUAGAAUACAAAAUACCGAAAUUGAACUGAACGUAUACCAUAACCGUAAAGAUUAUCAUCCCAAUUACCCACUUCCCCGUCAAAGCAGACCAUAAGUCAAAUUGUAAAUAAUAAAUAAUAAAUGAUCAUAUCAGUGCAAAUGUAAGAAGGACCGAUUAUUGAAUGAGGUAUUAAGAUAAAUAACUAAAGCGAUAAACAAAUCAAACAUUAACUGCGUAGUUAAAAUAGAAACUAGAAAUAGAAAGUAGAAACUGAUCGCCAUAUGAGGUAUCAAGAAUAAAUAAAACAACAAAAUCAAAAUCAAAAUCAAAUCAAAUAUAAAGCACGUAUCUAAUUAAGCACCACAUCAUUGUAUAAUCGAACAAGUAAGCCUGAUAUUUAACAGUCAAACCAUUAUCCGUCAAUUGUAGAUAAAUUAAAUAGACACUUGCACAGAAAAACCAUUCAUCAUAAAAGAAAAAAACAAUAAUCAAUCUACUGGCCUUGAUCAAUCAAGUAAAAUGAAUAAAUAAACAAUUAACAAUAUUAAAUACGAGCCAUCAAUUGAAGAGAUUAUGAAAUUAUAAAUUACAAAUUAAGAAAUUAAGAAAAAGAGAAAAUGUGGAAUGUAAAGUGCAAUCUGUAAAGUAUAGUAUAAGGUAUAAGGUAUAAUGUGUAAGCAAAAUAAUCAGCACAAUAUAUGUGAUAUAAAACAGAAUAAGAGAAUAAGAUAAAGUAAAGAUACAGUGGAGUGAAUUUCAAAAUUUCAAAAUUUCAAAAUAAUAUAACCAUAGAUAGUAUAACCAUAGAUAACCAUAGAUAACAUAAACCAUAGAAUAGACACUUUCAAAGAUGUCGGGUGACAGAAUUUACAGAAAUAUAACCUUAGCCCUAACCCUAAUGUGUCAAACAAGGAAUGUCAGCAAGAAACCAGAACAGUGUAAGAAGACUCAUUAAGAAAACGAACAAGAACAAGAUUACCAAUUAAGGAAGCCUGAUAGUCAACUCAGAAAAGGAAACAGGCAAGAAAAGCACACUUUCACCCUGUUAUGAAAGAACUACACAAUACCAAUACCAGACAGGGACAUCAUGAAUUAAUUGAAUUAAAGAAUAA